CUCGUGUCGUGAGCAUGUUGGUUAAGUCCCGCAACGAGCGCAACCCUUGUCGAUAGUUGCCAUUCAUUGAGUUGGGCACUCUAUCGAGACCUGCCGGUGACAAACCCGGAGGAAGGUGGGGAUGCCGUCAAGUCCUCAUGGCCCUUAUGGGUAGGGCUUCACACGUUCAUACAAUGGUCGGUACAGAGGGUUGCCAAGCGCGAGCGGAGCCAAUCCCAGAAAGCCGGUCGUAGUCCGGAUUGCAGUCUGCAACUCGACUGCAUGAAGUCGGAAUCGCUAGUAAUCGCGGAUCAGCAUAGCCGCGGUGAAUCACGUUCCCGGG
rnacentral:rRNA from 1 species